rnacentral:pre_miRNA from 1 species
AAAGCGCUAGGUGAUCCUUGACUAGGAUAUAAAAAGAACGUGUGUACAUGAAUCCAGUGAAUACUUGUACCCGUAUUUUUAUAUCCGAGCCAAGGAUUACCGUUGAUCGUUUUC